AGAGUUUGAUCAUGGCUCAGAUUGAACGCUGGCGGCAGGCCUAACACAUGCAAGUCGAGCGGUAGCACAGGAGAGCUUGCUCUCUGGGUGACGAGCGGCGGACGGGUGAGUAAUGUCUGGGAAACUGCCUGAUGGAGGGGGAUAACUACUGGAAACGGUAGCUAAUACCGCAUAACGUCUUCGGACCAAAGUGGGGGACCUUCGGGCCUCACGCCAUCAGAUGUGCCCAGAUGGGAUUAGCUAGUAGGUGGGGUAAUGGCUCACCUAGGCGACGAUCCCUAGCUGGUCUGAGAGGAUGACCAGCCACACUGGAACUGAGACACGGUCCAGACUCCUACGGGAGGCAGCAGUGGGGAAUAUUGCACAAUGGGCGCAAGCCUGAUGCAGCCAUGCCGCGUGUGUGAAGAAGGCCUUCGGGUUGUAAAGCACUUUCAGCGAGGAGGAAGGGUAGUGUGUUAAUAGCACAUUGCAUUGACGUUACUCGCAGAAGAAGCACCGGCUAACUCCGUGCCAGCAGCCGCGGUAAUACGGAGGGUGCAAGCGUUAAUCGGAAUUACUGGGCGUAAAGCGCACGCAGGCGGUUUGUUAAGUCAGAUGUGAAAUCCCCGCGCUUAACGUGGGAACUGCAUUUGAAACUGGCAAGCUAGAGUCUUGUAGAGGGGGGUAGAAUUCCAGUUGUAGCGGUGAAAUGCGUAGAGAUCUGGAGGAAUACCGGUGGCGAAGGCGGCCCCCUGGACAAAGACUGACGCUCAGGUGCGAAAGCGUGGGGAGCAAACAGGAUUAGAUACCCCGGUAGUCCAA
rnacentral:rRNA from 1 species